rnacentral:lncRNA from 1 species
UGAUGGCGCGCUGUUUCUACUUCGCCCUUCUCAUCCUCUCGUCUCCCGUAGCGGAGAUGGUUUAGGGUUUCGGUUUGGAGAUGGCGCUGAGCAGCUUCAUCGUGACGGUGGUGGGCGUCGGCGCCACCAUCCUCCUCCCCGGGGACGUCAAGCGGUCCGCGGCCAUUCUCCGCCACGCCUGACACUGGCUCGAAGAAGAGUCCGCCUCUGCCUCCAAGUACGCUCACCAAACCGUCCUCCUUUCUCGAUGAAGUAUCCUAUGCUCUCCAUAAUGUUACUGUUUCUCCUAAACUUUAACUUCUGCGGAAUCACAGAUUUAUAAUGUUAUGGAAGUCGUAAGUGGAUUUGAUGCCUAUUCUGUACAUUCUUGAUGUGCAGGAUCUGCAAUUGGUGAUGUUGGCUUAUUUUAUGCCCAAAUAAUUCAGGUUCUUCUGUUGAUCACUGUUUAGGGAUUUUGUGCUGCGACUUCAGUUUGUGACAACUUCUAUAGUGACCUGAUUAUUACUUUAGUUACACAUGAGAUAAGAUUCUCUGAGAAAAAAAAAAAAGGGUGCAAAUGAUGGAACGGAAUUUAAAUUGUUGGCACACAUCAUGUUUGAUGAGAUCAUUAUCCAGUUUUCCAGGUUGUCAACAAGUCUGUUGAAGCUAAAAGAAGUUAUAGUACCAUAACUCUGUGUUACCCGUAGUUGUUCAUGCCCUAGCAGUGAUUAAUAUUUUUGAAUUGCCGUAUGAAGAUGGACAGUUGGAAAACAAAAUGAGUAAAAAAUUGUAGAAAAGCAAAAAGAGAUGGAUGCCAUAUGAAAGAUGCCUUUUUCUUAAUUGGGGAAUGCUGUUCCCUUGGAAUGCUCCUAAAUAUGUAACAUAUGCUAGGCUAUCUACAUUCCUGUAGUUCUUAUUGUUUUCGUGCAAAAUUGCUGCAAACAGGAAGUAGUAUUGUGCAUGGCCACCUCGGUAUUUUCUUAACUAUUUACCUGACUGAUACUGGUUGUUAGUCACGUAUGAUUCACACGAUUUAUGUUUGACUAUAUUCCUUGUCAGAUUUAGCAUUGUUUGUGUAGUUUCUAAUUUUUGACUUUUUAAGGGAAUGCUGCUAACCUCGCUACUUCUGCAUGGUUAUGUCCUGCAUUUAUAAGCCUAUCGUCUACAAGUUUUUGGAAUGGGAAUUUUUAGAAUUUGGACAUCAAUAUGUAUUUUUUUUAAUAAAGAUCAAGAGAUAGAUAUCACGUUUGAGUCCAUGUAUAAGCGUCAUGCACGCCAGUACAAUGUUGCACAAGUGAUAGGUCUCAGUUUCAAGUUCACGUAUGAGCGUCAUGUACGCCGAAUAGAAGUUUCUUUUAUUUUAUGUAGUAUUUGAAGCCCUUCGACAAGUUUGUGUGCGUGUAUCAUAAUUAGAACUUGACCUACUGAAUAUCUGAGCAGGACCUGAAGGAAGCUGGAUCAAACGGACACCUACCUGAAUAUGAACCAAUCUCAGCCAUGAUAGGCAUCUUUUCAUUGAGUAAAUGCUCGAACUUUAUCAAACAAGCUUAAGACUAGUAAAGAUUUUAAAACUUUGUAACGUACUAGUGUUAUUAAUGAAAUUAGAAUCUUUUCUUAUGCUGUGGAAUUUUCUCUGUUGCCAAGUUACUUAGCUGUUAGUCUCAUUUUAGCAUUUCUUAUGCUGUGCAAUUUUAAUAUUCCCACAUUCAUUUGGUAGUUAAUGGCUAUUCAGGUCUAGCCUUUGUUGCCUCAGUGACAUGCAGAUUGUUUCAAGUUGUGUGGUAGAGACUGCAGGCCUUACAUUAUUAAUUGCUUUUUCAUCCUAGAGCUAUCCAGACACAUAGGUACUUUUAGUGUAGCCUAAGUAUGAUUUGCAAAUUUGGUGAUGUUGGUUCUAUCUUACGGAUAGCAGUUCUAGGCCUUGCCAAUGUUGGUAAGCAUAGUUGGAGAAAUCAUGUUUCUCCAUUUACUGUUUGCAGCAAUAUGUGAUUGCUCAAAAACUAUAUAAAUAUGAAGUGUGCACUUAGCUUCACUAUUGCAGGGGAGAAUUCUUGCAGGGUUUAGUCUCAUAUGAUAUCUUCUGAAAAUGAAAAGAAGAAAAAAAAACACGUGCAUUUAGUGUCUAUGACACUGGUUGCACAAGGACUGGUUUGAAGCAGAUCAUGUUUUUGAUGUUUGCCAUGCAUAUAUGCUAUACCAGUUAGGUUACAAGAUUUUUUUUUUUACUAUAAAAUCUGUUGGUAUGACCCAUAAAAAUUGAAGUAGUUAGUGUUGCCUAUUAUUCUUCUCUUUCUUGUCAUGUGUCUGUGCAUGACGAAUGCAAAGGUAUGGGAGCCUCUGAUGCUUAGUGGACCUCUGUUGUAGAUAGUUGCUUUCUGCAGCGGAUUUCACAUCUAAAUCUGCUCAAUUUCUGAUUUCUUUCACACAUCUAUGGAUCGAUCAGCGCUCAAGAAGUUGGAUUCUUAGGUUCCAGAAAAAGACAUUCCCAAGGAUGAGAAGCAAUAGAACAUUGUGUCAUUUUUUUAUUUAUUAAGGUCAAACAUAAAUGAAUGCAUCUACAAGUUUGUGUUUAGGAAUAUUCAUAAUUGAAUGUUUUUGUCAAGUACUGGCGGCAACCAGCUUGGCUCAUUCUGACAUAUCCAUCACUAUAUUUCUUGAGAACUAUGGAUAUUAUCACAUCAUCUGCUGAUGUUUAUAGACUAUUCUUCCUUUCAUCUCUUGAAUUAUUCUUUAAUGAAUCUUGCAACUGUCUUAGAUUUAUAUCUACACCAAAACCCAUGGGUUGGCAAUAUAUUUACAGGUUCCUAUAUGAUGUUUCAAAACCAAAUAAUGAUUUGAAAUCAAAUGUUUAAUAUAUGUGUUGUAGUAUCUGAAACCAGCUUGGAUUCACUGGACAAAAUCUCUGGUUGGUGCAUGAAAAUUUUGUUGAGAAAACUGAUGGUUCCUGGUGUUUUCAAGGUUUUGAUUGUCCUAAGUUCACAGUUUCUGCAUUUUGCAGGUGAUUUGCAAUCAACCAGCACCCACAACAAAGCCAAAUAAUCCACCCUGAAUGGUAAAAGUGUCUGAUUAUUCUUUUAAUUUUUUUAGUUACUUGAAGAACUGCCAUUAACUCACGAACUAGAUGGACAGAUUAUUUAUCAGAGGUGAGGGGAUGAUGGUGAGUACUUGUAACUAACAUACAUCCCUUAUGAAAGCCCUUUUCAGUAUGUAGUGCUUACAACCAUUACCCCCAAAUUGAAUACAAGUGGUUCUUUACAUCCCAACUCAGAACUUUGAUUGGAAGCAACUUGAUCGAUACUAAUGAUGAACGAAGGUGAUGAAGACCUGGAAGUCCAUUUAUAUAAUCCAACCCA